UUUCAUUAACUGCUGCUGUCGGUGGGGAAGACCACUUUUAUAUCGAGUUUUCCAGCGCAGCACAUAAUCAGGUCUCCUCCUUAAACUCGGCAGGAUUCUAACCAAUUUGUCUCGCACAGCUGGAGAUCAUUGUUUCGAUCUGCUCGACGGGAAAUGUGUCAGCCUUGGUUGAAAUUUUCAGUUCGUGCUGAUGCCACUCUUGUGAUUGGAGUCCUCGAUUUUUGCCAGAUGGCCAAUCAUUGUCAGGGAUGCAUGUCAUGACAUGCACAGGUAGCUGCACUAGGGUGGUUUGCAUUCGCUGUUGUGUUGAACAGCAUGACAAAGGGUUUAUUUGGUUUUUAAUUGUACAAUCCUCAAUAUACCACAGACCCUUGACCGAGGAACCAGCACUGACAUCUGUAGGACAUCUGUAGGAAUUUCAGAAUCAUGAUUAGUGAAAUUAGUUUUUAAUUUUAUAGUACAGAAUAUCUGUUUAAUAUGGAAAGGAUGAAUUCCACGUUGACUGGGGAACAAGAUCAGGAGUGAAGAUCGUGGCUGGUAGCGAACCAGAGAGUGUGGCAGAGAAGAGACGAUAAUGGGAGACUCACACGGAGAUGGGAACACAGGAGGAGACAGGGAACACGCUGGAAUGGAGACGGUGAAUAUACAAGAGUCCUUGAGGCUUUCAAUUGGAUGAUGACCAAAGUUGAAACACCAAGAACAAAAUAAGAGAGAGAGGUGCCAAACUCGAUCAUACCCCAUUCAUUCAUAAUGUUCAUUUUCAGUCUGCCAGAACAGAGGAGAAAGCAGAGGCAUUUAUCUUUGUUUAUGUGUGCACGGGGGGGGUUUAUAUCACAUGUUUGCAUGUUUUACUAUGUCUGCAUUAUAUAUUUGGAGCUGUGUGCCAAUAUGAUUCUUUGAAGAAAGCAAUAAAGCUAAAUAAGAGAUAAUAUGCAGUCAGCAGGUCAUUAUCCCAAAAUAAACCCGACAGGGUGAUCGGGACCCCGCCGUGAAGCAAACUAUCCCUCUGAAAAGGUUUAUUUUGUGAUAAUGACCAUCUGACUGCACAUUAUCCCACUUAUUACACAGCUACUUACCAAAUAAAUAAAUGGACAUCAAAUAUUGAUUUGAGUUGAAAUUAUUCUGUUAUGUGAGAAGAAAGAGACUUUGGGGUGACAGUAGAGACAACAAAUGAACACAGCUAUGUGGGAAAUCCAUUGCCCAGUCAAUUAUACAAUUAUAUUAAAAUAUUUUACUGCAGAAUGACCAAUCAGAAUCAAGUAUUCCAAAUAGCCAUAUAAUAUAUAAAAAUACAAUAUAUAAGAAUAUUAUUUAUUUUCACUGUUCAGGUUUAUUGAUCUAUUAACUGCAAUCAAAGCAAAAGGCAAAACAUGAGUAUAUGCAAUAUAAAACCUCCAUCAUGGAAAUUUUCCAUCAUGUAUCCUGGCAUCUGCUGUAUUUCUCACCUGAUUAAAGGGUUAGUUCAUCCAAA